UACAGAGGUCUCGAGCGUUAGGCGGAAUCACUGGGCUUAAAGCGUGUGUAGGCGGAUCGGUAAGUACCUUGUGAAAUCCCACAGCUUAACUGUGGAACUGCUUGGUAUACUGCCAGUCUUGAGCCACCUAGGGGCUACCGGAACAAAUGGUGGAGCGGUGAAAUGCGUAGAUAUCAUUUGGAACGCCAAUGGUGAAAACAGGUAGCUGGGAGUGUGCUGACGCUGAGACACGAAAGCCAGGGGAGCAAACGGG
rnacentral:rRNA from 1 species